UACGGGGGGGAGCAAGCGUUUGUUCGGAUUUACUGGGCGUAAAGGGCGCGUAGGCGGCCACUGCAAGUCGGUUGUGAAAUCUCCGGGCUUAACCCGGAAAGGUCAAUCGAUACUGCAGGGCUAGAGUGCAGAAGGGGCAACUGGAAUUCUCGGUGUAGCGGUGAAAUGCGUAGAUAUCGAGAGGAACACCUGCGGCGAAGGCGGGUUGCUGGGCUGACACUGACGCUGAAGCGCGAAAGCUAGGGGAGCGAACGGG
rnacentral:rRNA from 1 species